UGUAUGUGUGCUGGUGAGUGUGAGUACAGAGAAGCUGCGGCCGCCAUUUCACGGAGCUUGCCGACGUUGUCGCAGGGGUGGAUCCUGAGCUGCCGAAGCCGCCGUCCUGCUCUCCCGUGCGCGCUUCUCUAAUCCCAUUGUUUCUUUUAGAUUUGCUCGGGCCUAGCCGUCCUCGGAGCCCGACAUUCGGGCUGGGCGGUAGUGGGGCCUGGGCCUAGGGGUUUAUCAGUAGUAAAAGCGGCAGCGGCGGUAGCAGCAGCAGCAGCAGUAGCAGUUAUUUCUUCCUGAAUACGAGCACCACAGGCUCCCGAAAGUCCGCACAGGCGUUUAGAGAAAAUGGCAGACGAUAUUGAUAUUGAAGCAAUGCUUGAGGCUCCUUACAAGAAGACUUGCCUAACGAUAUCUCACCUCUACUCCCAUGAAUUCACCUUUGAUUCCAGUGUGAACUGUCAAUCAUAAGGGCGAGAUGUGUGACAGAGGUGGCAUCAAGCUCUUACAGUCCCAACCCUCCAACGGAAAUGGGCGAAGAUCUCAGGAAUGGCAUCGGUCACAGGAAAUCGAUAGUGGCUGGCUGCUAGCAUGGCCACUUGGGGCUUAGGCAGAAAUAGAGCCAUGGUACUGACCAAAGGGACCAUAGCACAUGGAAUAAAACUCAAAACAGGACUUUAUUCAUGUUUUACAGAAAUUAUAUUUAACCACUUCAACAUUGUAAAUCUGGAUAAUUUAAUAUCUAUACUAUAUAACAAAGUAAAACUUAACAUGUUAAUAUGAAUUUUUAUUUUUGUAUGUUGAUGACUCAAUUGUAAGCAACAAAGUGGUUAAACACAUACCUAUCUAAAUUUUUUUAUAGCCUUCCAUAUUAAACUAUUAAUAAGUAAUUAGUUUUAAAAUUGUUUUGUAUUUUCUUAUUCCUGUUCCCUUUACCCUUUGACAACUUGAAAUGUUACCACUUCGUCCUCAUGAUGUUCUUCUAUCAACCCUGCUUAGGAUGAGAACAAGUUGAGCAGUGCUAAUGGCCAUGAAGAACGUAGCAAAAAAAUACUUUGCAUUUAAAAUUUAGAUCUUCUUUCAUGGAAGAGGUCAAAUCCAGUUAUAGCAAAACACCUUUACAGCAGAGGCCAUAUAACCAAAAAAUCCAAAGGCCCAGCCCAGUGGACCAUUUACUUCAAUGAUGUUCAGUACAAAAUUCCACUGCCACUAAAGACUUUGGAAAGUCCUUUUUUUAAGUUGUAACAGGAUUUGACUAUUAGUGUGGAUUUUGAUAACCCUUCUGUAGUUAAUGUUCUUUGAAGCUGGAAUUUGCUAUUGAGAAGUAUACUGGUUUCUUGCACCCUUAAAUUUUUGACUGGGCUUUUAUGCAAAAGAUUGUAUUUUCCAAAUGUCUUAGUAUGGUGCUGUCUUUUUUUUACCUGUCUGGGGUUGCCUUCAGAUGUGGGUGGGGACUCAUUUACAGAAAGUCCUAGGAAGACCUUAAGUUAAAAUUAGCUCUCCAAUUUUCAAGUCUUUUCUUUUGGCAGAAUAAGUUUGGGGCCUAUGAGAGGUAAAUAGGGAGAUAGGCUGCCUCUCUGCUAUAGGCCAUCUACGAGCAGAUCAAAAACUUUGCCUUUUUUUUUUUUUGUGAGGGAGCGAGUUACUUUUUACAUUGUCCCCUAAUUGAAUUGGUUAUAUUUAGGACUUCGGUCUUAGCCAUCUUGCAGAAUUCUUUAUUCUUAGUGAUAUCGUCAGAUUUUUCAGGCAACAAAGUUGGAAUGCUAUCCGUUGCCCAUUUGGGCAUUGCUUUGAUGACUUCUAUAUAAGUAAUGAGUGUAGCCUAACUUUCUGUCAUGUGCUACUUAGCAUAUACAUUUCUGACAGUCAGGUGGAUUAUCUUGA